rnacentral:rRNA from 1 species
CCAAUAGCGUAUAUUAAAGUUGUUGCAGUUAAAAAGCUCGUAGUUGAAUUUCGGGGUCAGUAAGUUGGUCGCGCCACUGGUAUGUACUGGCUUUACCGAUUCCUUCUUCUUGUAGAACCGUAAUGCCAUUAAGUUGGUGUUGCGGGGAAACAGGACUGUUACUUUGAAAAAAUUAGAGUGUUUAAAGCAGGCUAACGCUUGAAUACAUUAGCAUGGAAUAAUGAAAUAGGACGUUCGAUCCUAUUUUGUUGGUUUCUAGGAUUGACGUAAUGAUUAAUAGGGAUAGUUGGGGGCAUUAGUAUUCAAUUGUCAGAGGUGAAAUUCGUGGAUUUAUUGAAGACUGACUACUGCGAAAGCAUUUGCCAAGGAUGUUUUCAUUAAUCAAGAACGAAAGUUAGGGGAUCGAAGACGAUCAGAUACCGUCGUAGUCUUAACCAUAAACUAUGCCGACUAGGGAUCGGAUGAUGUUAAUUUUUUAAUGACUCAUUCGGCGCCUUACG